rnacentral:rRNA from 1 species
GAUGAACGCUGGCGGCGUGCCUAAUACAUGCAAGUCGUGCGGAAAGGCCACUUCGGUGGUACUCGAGCGGCGGACGGCAGAGUAACGCGUAGGAACAUACCCCAAACUGAGGGAUAACUGCUCGAAAGAGUAGCUAAUACCGCAUGUGAUCUUCGGAUUAAAGCUUCGGCGGUUUGGGAAUGGCCUGCGUCCGAUUAGCUAGUUGGUGAGGUAAUAGCUCACCAAGGCGACGAUCGGUAGCUGGUCUGAGAGGAUGAUCAGCCUGACUGGAACUGAGAACGGUCCAGACUCCUACGGGAGGCAGCAGUAGGGAAUUUUCCACAAUGGGCGAAAGCCUGAUGGAGCAACGCCGCGUGCAGGAUGAAUGCCUUCGGGUUGUAAACUGCUUUUAUUAGUGAAGAAUAUGACGGUAACUAAUGAAUAAGGGUCGGCUAACUACGUG